GGAAGGGUGGCCGAGUGGACGAAGGCGGCGGUCUCGAAAACCGCUGUGCAGGCAACUGUACCGUGGGUUCGAAUCCCACCCCUUCCGCCA
rnacentral:tRNA from 1 species